GGGACACGUAGAAUAUUCUAUAGAUGGGAUGAUUGAGCAACUCGAUUUCCUCGGGGUCAUUGGUCCAGUUCUUUUUCUAAACAAAAAUUAGAAGCUAUACGAAAGGAAGCCAAAGUGGGGCCACGUAAUUCCAGAAUUUUCAAUUAACCUCUGACUGCCAGUGACGGCUGGCCUAAUGGCAAAGACAUGACAAUAACAAGCGCCAAAUUUACCACGUCUCGCCUGACAGACAUGGCUAAUACACAACAACCACCCACGAGAACUCACUCACACAUGCACGCCCAAGUCGACAGGGCUAACACGGUUUAAGCCAGGGCACGCACGACUUCUCAGAACGGAACGCAAAGAAGGAAAAGGGAAUGAAUAAACAAGCCUCGUUACUUUUUAUGCUA